rnacentral:rRNA from 1 species
UAGGGAAUAUUGCGCAAUGGGCGAAAGCCUGACGCAGCGACGCCGCGUGGGUGAUGAAGCUCCUUGGAGUGUAAAACCCUGUCAGCGGGGAAGAACCGCAUACGGAGUAACUGCCGUAUGCCUGACGGUACCUGCAGAGGAAGCUCCGGCCAACUCCGUGCCAGCAGCCGCGGUAAUACGGGGGGAGCGAGCGUUGUUCGGAUUUACUGGGCGUAAAGGGCGCGUAGGUGGGUCAUCAAGUCAAAUGUGACAACCAGCGGCUCAACCGUUGGCCUGCAUGUGAGACUUUUGAUCUUGAGUACGGGGGAGGAAAGCGGAAUUCCUGGUGUAGCGGUGAAAUGCGUAGAUAUCAGGAGGAACACCGGUGGCGAAGGCGGCUUUCUGGCCCGAUACUGACACUGAGGCGCGAAGGCCGGGGGAGCAAACA